ensembl:lncRNA
UGUGCAUCAUUCUCCUUUAAUUUCGGUUUCCAUGGGGAUUUAAAAAAAAAAACUAACAAAACAACUGAGAAUGGCAAUGCAUUUGAACAGGUUUUUUUUUUUUUUAUCUAAAACCAAUUUGAAGCAUCGGACAAACACACACACACACACAAAUAUUACUUUGGCACAGAAAAUGAGACGUGUGUGUGGAGGACAAGAUCUUGACACAGGGAACCACGAGAACUCCAGACAAGUUCCACACAAGCGCAACAACAAUCAUACCUUCACACUAGACCUUAGACAAAUCCAUACCUGCAAUCCCCAACACUGACAUUCAUAUCUUCACACUAAGAGUCAUAUCUUUACACUAAGAGUCAUAUAUUCACACUAGAGCCAAAUCCAUCCCUGCAAUCCUCAACACUGACAGUCAUAUCUUCACACUAAGAGUCAAAUCUUUACACUAAGAGUCAAAUCCAUCCCUGCAAUCCUCAACACUAAGACAGCAUGAACUCUACGUGUGCAGACAUGAUGAACACUGACGCGGUCCUCCUCCUCCUCCUCCUCCUCCUCCUCCUCAGCGCCCCAGGCAAACUGGCUUGGUUCCACUUGGUUCCACACAGUAACUUUCCUAUGUCAAACACAGUGCUCAAUAAACAUGUAGGGUCCUUUUCUCAUGCACAUGGGUGAUAAUGUGUUAUAAUGCUUCACAAGGGGGGUAGGUGAGCUAUGCAUGCAUUAUGACGGGUGAGUUUGAGGAACACGUAGGCAGACGGGACGCCGCUGCGUUAAGCGUGUGGGGGGGGGGGGGUCACACCCGGGGCCUCAGCAGGAACCCCAACCGAUCUGGUUCUGCUGGAUCUGGACCUCAGCAGGAACCCCAACCAUUCUGGUUCCGCUGGAUCUGGGCCAGUCUGCUGCUGCAGCUUUGUGAGGGGGCGGAGUCAUGUGUCUAUCUGUCUCCUCGCCCGCUUGCGCACUAGAGCAGAGUUAUCUGCGCCGGCUAACACCUAGAAACACUCCCCACAUCCAGCCUAGCCUGACGCAUGAGUUAGCCAGAUAUCUGCGCCAGCUAACACCUAAACAAGCCUAGCCUAGCCUAGCCUAACAUCCAAGGUGCUGCUUCUCCAGCCUAGCCUAGCCUAGCAUACGAGGCGCUGUUUCUGUAGCCUAGCAUACAAGGUGCUGCUUCUCUAGCCUAGCACACAAGGUGCUGCUUCUCCAGCCUAGCCUAGCCUAGCACACAAGGUGCUGUUUCUGUAGCCUAGCAUACGAGGCGCUGUUUCUCUAGCCUAGCCUAGC